ACAGCAGCAGCCGCGGGAAUACGAAGGGGGCUAGCGUUGUUCGGAUUUACUGGGCGUAAAGGGCGCGUAGGCGGACUGAUAAGUCAGGGGUGAAAUCCCAAGGCUCAACCUUGGAACUGCCUUUGAUACUGUUUGUCUUGAGUUCGAGAGAGGUAAGUGGAACUGCGAGUGUAGAGGUGAAAUUCGUAGAUAUUCGCAAGAACACCAGUGGCGAAGGCGGCUUACUGGCUCGAAACUGACGCUGAGGCGCGAAAGCGUGUGGAGCAAACAGGAUUAGAUACCCCGUAGUCCCUGUCUCUUAUACA
rnacentral:rRNA from 1 species